rnacentral:lncRNA from 1 species
UCAGAAUUUUGAAUGAACUGCAAUAGAAACAGCCAAGUCACAGUUAUAUCAACACACAUAUUUAGACAUACGUUUAUGUAUUCCGACAGUAACAGUUUAAGGUGUUAUAUAACUUUUCAUAUAUUCUACACGUUAUGUCGUUUUUGUUUGUUUUGUUUUUUUUAGUCUGUGUCUUUUCAUAAAAUAGGUGUAAUUGAGAGUAAAUGAACUAGCGUUCCUCUAGCACCAGGAACAUAUUCUAAUUGUCGAAUAUUAUUUUGUGUUUUAUCGGUUGUAGUUGUAAUUCUAUUUUUCAUUUUCUAUUCGUAUGUAAAAGUAAGUAUGAUUAAUCACCCAGUUGAUUUGUAUGGUUUUAGUU